rnacentral:tRNA from 1 species
GCCGAAGUGGCGGAAUGGCAGACGCACAGGACUUAAAAUCCUGCGGUAGGUGACUAUCGUGCGGGUUCGAGUCCCGCCUUCGGCA